rnacentral:rRNA from 1 species
UACGAAGGGGGCUAGCGUUGCUCGGAAUCACUGGGCGUAAAGCGCACGUAGGCGGAUUGCUAAGUCAGGGGUGAAAUCCUGGAGCUCAACUCCAGAACUGCCUUUGAUACUGGCGAUCUUGAGUCCGGGAGAGGUGAGUGGAACUGCGAAGUGUAGAGGUGAAAUUCGUAGAUAUUCGCAAGAACACCAGUGGCGAAGGCGGCUCACUGGCCCGGUACUGACGCUGAGGUGCGAAAGCGUGGGGAGCAAACAGG